rnacentral:rRNA from 1 species
AUAUCAAUAAGCGGAGGAAAAGAAACCAACAGGGAUUGCCCCAGUAACGGCGAGUGAAGCGGCAACAGCUCAAAUUUGAAAUCUGGCCCUCGGGUCCGAGUUGUAAUUUGCAGAGGAUGCUUUUGGCGAGGUGCCUUCCGAGUUCCCUGGAACGGGACGCCGCAGAGGGUGAGAGCCCCGUAUGGUCGGACACCGAGCCUCUGUAAAGCUCCUUCGACGAGUCGAGUAGUUUGGGAAUGCUGCUCAAAAUGGGAGGUAUAUGUCUUCUAAAGCUAAAUACCGGCCAGAGACCGAUAGCGCACAAGUAGAGUGAUCGAAAGAUGAAAAGCACUUUGAAAAGAGGGUUAAAAAGUACGUGAAAUUGCUGAAAGGGAAGCGCCUGUGACCAGACUUGGGCCCGGUGAAUCAUCCAGCGUUCUCGCUGGUGCACUUUGCCGGGCACAGGCCAGCAUCAGUUUGGCCGCGGGGGGGAAAGGCUCCGGGAAUGUGGCUCCCUCGGGAGUGUUAUAGCCCGCCGCGCAAUACCCCGCGCCGGACUGAGGUACGCGCACUGCAAGGAUGCUGGCGUAAUGGUCAUCAGCGACCCGUCUUGAAACACGGACCAAGGAGUCGUCUUCGUAUGCGAGUGUUCGGGUGUCAAACCCCUACGCGGAAUGAAAGUGAACGCAGGUGAGAGCUUCGGCGCAUCACCGACCGAUCCUGAUGUUCUCGGAUGGAUUUGAGUAAGAGCAUACGGGGCCGGACCCGAAAGAAGGUGAACUAUGCCUGUAUAGGGUGAAGCCAGAGGAAACUCUGGUGGAGGCUCGCAGCGGUUCUGACGUGCGAAUCGAUCGUCAAAUAUGGGCAUGGGGGCGAAAGACUAAUCGAACCUUCUAGUAGCUGGUUUCCGCC